rnacentral:rRNA from 1 species
UUGACCUCGGAUCAGGUAGGGAUACCCGCUGAACUUAAGCAUAUCAAUAAGCGGAGGAAAAGAAACCAACAGGGAUUGCCCUAGUAACGGCGAGUGAAGCGGCAACAGCUCAAAUUUGAAAUCUGGCGUCUUUGGCGUCCGAGUUGUAAUUUGCAGAGGGCGCUUUGGCAUCGGCAGCGGUCCAAGUUCCUUGGAACAGGACGUCACAGAGGGUGAGAAUCCCGUACGUGAUCGCUAGCCUUUACCGUGUAAAGCCCCUUCGACGAGUCGAGUUGUUUGGGAAUGCAGCUCUAAAAUGGGAGGUAAAUUUCUUCUAAAGCUAAAUACUGGCCAGAGACCGAUAGCGCACAAGUAGAGUGAUCGAAAGAUGAAAAGCACUUUGGAAAGAGAGUUAAAAAGCACGUGAAAUUGUUGAAAGGGAAGCGCUUGCAGCCAGACUUGCCUGUAGUUGCUCAUCCGGGUUUCUACCCGGUGCACUCUUCUAUAGGCAGGCCAGCAUCAGUUUGGGCGGUUGGAUAAAGGUCUCUGUCAUGUACCUCUCUUCGGGGAGAACUUAUAGGGGAGACGACAUGCAACCAGCCCGGAC